UGGCCUGACCUCUGACCUCCGGCCCCCUACCGGCCAAAUGACCAGUGGGUGCCCAGAACAGUCCCAGGUCUCUGGCUGCCUCCAAGAAUCCUCCUUCCUGGAAGAUGGAAGCUCCUUUGACCCAGCCAAGCCCAGGAAGCCAGAAGUCCUGAAAAAUAAAGAGAAGGGGGAGCUGAGCAGAGACAUCCGAGGCUCCACACUGUGGGGACAGACACAUGGAAUCCGCCCAGGCAAGCACCAAACAGCAUGAAAGAGCAGCAGCAAUCACAGAGACACUGGCCAGUCAUCACCCAGAGCUGACGUGAUAUGGCUCUAAAGUGUCCAGUUUUCUUUUUUCUUUUCUUUUUUUUGAGGAGGAGUCUCGCUCUGUCUCCCAGGCUGGAGUGCGGUGGCACGAUCUCGGCUCACUGCAACCUCCGCCUCCCGGGUUCAAGAGAUUCUCCUGCCUCAGCCUCCUGAGUAGCUGGGACUACAGGCGCACGCCACCACGCCCAGCUAAUUUUUGGUAAUUUUAGUAGAGAUAGGGCUUCACCAUGUUGGCCAGGCUGGUCUUGAAUGCCUAACCUCAAAUGAUCUGCCCGCCUCAGCCUCCUAAAGUGCUGGGAUUACAGGCCUGAGCCACCGAGCCCCGCUUAGAAUUUAUACCUUCUGUCUACCUGCAUGUUUACCUACCCAUUAACCAAACUUUUCACCACCAGAACGCACACACCAUUCCCAGCCUCUGGGAACCAUCAUUCUACUGUCUACCUCCACAAGAUUAACGUUUUUAGCUUCCACAUGUGGGUGAGAACAUUCCAUGUUUGCCUUUCUGUGCCUGGCUUAUUUCUCUCAACGUAACGACCUCCAGCUUGCUGCAACUGGCAGGAUUUCGUUCUUUUUGUGGCUGAAGGGUAUUCUAUUGUGUGUCCGCGCAACAUUUUCUGCACCCAUUCAUCCGUCUGUAUCUUAGGAUGACUCUGCAUCUUGGCUGCUGCAGUAACAAGGAGGUGCAGGCGUACCUUGGACGUGUUGACUUCAGGACGGUGUGACUGUCACACGGGAUAAAGAGCAGACAGUAGUAACUGCCUUUGAAGGGGCCCAGACUCUGGGCUUUGCAGGCAAAGAUGUCAACGUUUAGGUUACGCAAAGGCCCGUGAAGGGAGUGGCCGUGGUGGCAGGGAUGGUGGCUCUGUAUGGUCUGCCCGUGAACGGAGUGGCCGUGGUGGCAGGGAUGGUGGCUCUGUAUGGUCGGCCCGUGAAUGGAGUGUCCUUGGUGGCAGGGAUGGUGGCUCUGUAUGGUCCUACUGACUGCUGAAUGUCCAACCCAUAGCAGCAGAAACCGAAGACCUCGGCCAGCUGGGCACAGUGGCUCACACCUGUAAUUACAGCACUUUGGGAGGCAGAGGCGGGCGGGUCACCUGAGAUCAGGAGUUUGAGACCAAAUUGGCCAACAUGGUGAAACCCCGUCUCUACCAAAAAUACAAAUACAAAAAUUAGCCAGGCACGGUGGUGGGCGCCUGUAAUCCCAGCUAUGUGGGAAGCUGAGGCCGGAGAAUCGCUUGAACCUGGGAGGGUGGAGGUUGCAGUGAGCCAAGAUCGUGCCACUGCACUCCAGCCUGGGCAACAGAACGCGACUCUGGCUCAAAAACAAACAAAUACCUCGGGCCCCUCCCACCUGGAGGAGCAGCGAUUUGCUCUUCCUGGAACUGACACCUACUCUGGAUACAACUUUGCUGUUCCUGCCUAAAGCUCCUCUAUCCCAAGCUUUGGGAAUGUCUUGCCUCCCACUGGACCAUGUUAAAUACUAAUGACCCACCUUAGAGCCUAGGAGCAUGGCAGUGAGCUCAUGUCCCUGGGACUCACGGGUCUCCCAAACCCUUGUCAGCCCAAUGGAAUGAAGGCACGGUCUGCUGAAGGCUCUGCCCGCUGCCAGCUGGAUGUCAGCCCCUGCCAGGGCGGGGCACUUCUGCUGGGAUGCUCCUGUGCUGCCCUGAGGAGUUGGGGCUCGAGAAGAAACAGGCUCACCAGGAAGUCCUGGGGAGCACUUACAGGAUCCUCACCCCUACAGCCUCUUCCCAGCUUGGGCCCCAGCAAAGUAUUUACAGAGUCAUAUAUUUUGUAAAACUUGCAAAAGUGAAAUAUCUUAACCACAACCGGCUAAAACUGUCUCUUCGCCCUGCAAUGGGCCAUCAGUUACUCCCUCCCCUUCCGCAGGAGCUGGAGGGGGUGUUGUGGGGUCCAGCUCCUGGGAGGUUGAGUUGAGGGUACGUUUUGCUUGGGUUUAGCGGGAACAGUCUCUUCCUGAUAUAGUCAUGCUAUCGCUAGUCACCAAGGUGUAGAAAUGGCUUCCAGAAACACCCACCGCCCUCCGCUGCCUGUCAGGACACAACAGCUGAUGAAACUGGCUAAGUGUCAACUCAGAGACAAUUUGAGGUUAGUCAUAAGCACCAAAACCGAAGCUCAAAUUCAUUUUUUGUUUUUUGGGGUUCUGGGGUUUUUUAUUUGCUUUUUGAGACAGAGCCUUGCUCUGUCACACAGGCUGGAGCACAAUCACAACUCACGGCAGCCUCGGCAGAGAAAGGGUUUUGCUAUGUUACCCAGGCUGGUCUCAGACACCUCACCUCAAGCAAUCCUCCUGCCUCAGCCUCCCAAAAUGUUGGGAUUACAGGCAUGAGCUACCUUGCCCAGCCAAGCCCUAAACUGUUAUGGCUCAUAUGUAAAAGAAAUUUGAUAAGUAGUUUUCUCAAAUUUAAUGACAAUUCAAAAAAAUGUACAUAUUACCCAAAGGAGCUUUACCUGAAAGCAACUUAGGUAAUAAAAUUAAAUUUCGAUUAAACAUGUUAGAGGAGAAACGGAA